rnacentral:rRNA from 1 species
CCUACGGGUGGCAGCAGUAGGGAAUCUUCGGCAAUGGACGGAAGUCUGACCGAGCAACGCCGCGUGAGUGAAGAAGGUUUUCGGAUCGUAAAGCUCUGUUGUAAGAGAAGAACGAGUGUGAGAGUGGAAAGUUCACACUGUGACGGUAUCUUACCAGAAAGGGACGGCUAACUACGUGCCAGCAGCCGCGGUAAUACGUAGGUCCCGAGCGUUGUCCGGAUUUAUUGGGCGUAAAGCGAGCGCAGGCGGUUAGAUAAGUCUGAAGUUAAAGGCUGUGGCUUAACCAUAGUACGUUUUGGAAACUGUUUAACUUGAGUGCAAGAGGGGAGAGUGGAAUUCCAUGUGUAGCGGUGAAAUGCGUAGAUAUAUGGAGGAACACCGGUGGCGAAAGCGGCUCUCUGGCUUGUAACUGACGCUGAGGCUCGAAAGCGUGGGGAGCAAACAGGAUUAGAUACCCCGGUAGUC